rnacentral:rRNA from 1 species
AUUGAACGCUGGCGGCAUGCCUUACACAUGCAAGUCGAACGGCAGCACGGGGCAACCUGGUGGCGAGUGGCGAACGGGUGAGUAAUGCAUCGGAGCGUACCUUUCAGUGGGGGAUAACGUAGCGAAAGUUACGCUAAUACCGCAUAUUCUGUGAGCAGGAAAGCAGGGGAUCGCAAGACCUUGCGCUGAUUGAGCGGCCGAUGUCAGAUUAGCUAGUUGGUGAGGUAAAGGCUCACCAAGGCGACGAUCUGUAGCGGGUCUGAGAGGAUGAUCAGCAACACGGGAACUGAGAAAAGGCCCAGAAUCCAACGGGAGGCAGCAGUGGGGAAUAUUGGACAAUGGGGGCAACCCUGAUCCAGCCAUGCCGCGUGAGUGAAGAAGGCCUUCGGGUUGUAAAGCUCUUUCGGCCGGGAAGAAAUCGCACGGGCUAAUACCCUGUGUGGAUGACGGUACCGGAAUAAGAAGCACCGGCUAACUACGUGCCAGCCGCCGCCGUAAGAC